rnacentral:rRNA from 1 species
UGCCGCGUGUGUGAAGAAGGCCUUCGGGUUGUAAAGCACUUUCAGCAGUGAGGAAGGUAGUGUACUUAAUACGUGCAUUGCUUGACGUUAGCUGCAGAAGAAGCACCGGCUAACUCCGUGCCAGCAGCCGCGGUAAUACGGAGGGUGCGAGCGUUAAUCGGAAUUACUGGGCGUAAAGCGCAUGCAGGCGGUUUGUUAAGUCAGAUGUGAAAGCCCGGGGCUCAACCUCGGAACCGCAUUUGAAACUGGCAGGCUAGAGUCUUGUAGAGGGGGGUAGAAUUUCAGGUGUAGCGGUGAAAUGCGUAGAGAUCUGAAGGAAUACCAGUGGCGAAGGCGGCCCCCUGGACAAAGACUGACGCUCAGAUGCGAAAGCGUGGGUAGCAAAGCAGGAUUAGAUACCCUGGUAGUCCACGCCGUAAACGAUGUCUACUUGGAGGCUGAGGUUUAAGACUUUGGCUUUCGGAGCUAACGCAU